rnacentral:rRNA from 1 species
GACGUAGGGCGCGAGCGUUGUCCGGAUUUAUUGGGCGUAAAGAGCUCGUAGGCGGCUUGUCGCGUCGUCCGUGAAAACCCACAGCUCAACUGUGGGCUUGCGGUCGAUACGGGCAGGCUAGAGUUCGGUAGGGGAGACUGGAAUUCCUGGUGUAGCGGUGAAAUGCGCAGAUAUCGGGAAGAACACCCGUGGCGAAGGCGGCUCUCUGGAACGCAACUGACGCAUGAGACGGCGAAAGCGUGGGAG